rnacentral:lncRNA from 1 species
UUUUGGUGGAGUUGUAUGAUGUGGUCCAUACGUGUGUCAGAAUCUCUAUAAUAUUAUUCCAUUGUCAUUUAUCCUUAUCCCUGAAAUGGCAGAACUUUGCAUUAUGCAGAUGCCACUUAACAUCUAUCACAGCAACUCCCUGCACAGCUAGACUGCAACAGAACAGAAGAUUAAUGCUGCUAAUUUCAGUUAUGUGAAAACUGUGAGCUGAUAAAGGACCUGGAUGUUUUUCUAAAGCAAAUAUUAAUAGCAGAAAAAGGAAUAUUCCUAUCCUGUGGUGGAAAUAAUUGUGUCAGUAAUCUCACCAUGCUGCUUUAAAUGAGUUUGCAUCAUUUCAUGCAGUAUCAUACUGCAGACAUUUGAUCAUCUAUAACAUGAUGAUGGAAUGAUGAAAAAGAAGGCUAAAUUAAUAUCCUAGAUACAGUGACACUGGUA